UGGGGAAUAUUGGACAAUGGGCGAAAGCCUGAUCCAGCCAUGCCGCGUGUGUGAAGAAGGUCUUCGGAUUGUAAAGCACUUUAAGUUGGGAGGAAGGGCAGUAAGCGAAUACCUUGCUGUUUUGACGUUACCGACAGAAUAAGCACCGGCUAACUCUGUGCCAGCAGCCGCGGUAAUACAGAGGGUGCAAGCGUUAAUCGGAAUUACUGGGCGUAAAGCGCGCGUAGGUGGUUCGUUAAGUUGAAUGUGAACGCCCCGGGCUCAACCUGGGAACUGCAUCCCAAACUGGCGAGCUAGAGUAGGGCAGAGGGUGGUGGAAUUUCCUGUGUAGCGGUUAAAUGCGUAGAUAUAGGAAGGAACACCAGUGGCGAAGGCGACCACCUGGGCUCAUACUGACACUGAGGUGCGAAAGCGUGGGGAGCAAACAGG
rnacentral:rRNA from 1 species